rnacentral:rRNA from 1 species
GACGAACGCUGGCGGCGUGCUUAACACAUGCAAGUCGAACGGAAAGGCCCUGCUUUUGUGGGGUGCUCGAGUGGCGAACGGGUGAGUAACACGUGAGUAACCUGCCCUUGACUUUGGGAUAACUUCAGGAAACUGGGGCUAAUACCGGAUAGGAGCUCCUGCUGCAUGGUGGGGGUUGGAAAGUUUCGGCGGUUGGGGAUGGACUCGCGGCUUAUCAGCUUGUUGGUAGGGUAGUGGCUUACCAAGGCUUUGACGGGUAGCCGGCCUGAGAGGGUGACCGGCCACAUUGGGACUGAGAUACGGCCCAGACUCCUACGGGAGGCAGCAGUGGGGAAUAUUGCACAAUGGGCGGAAGCCUGAUGCAGCAACGCCGCGUGCGGGAUGACGGCCUUCGGGUUGUAAACCGCCUUCGCCUGUGACGAAGCGUGAGUGACGGUAAUGGGUAAAGAAGCACCGGCUAACUACGUG